rnacentral:rRNA from 1 species
CCUACGGGAGGCAGCAGUGGGGAAUAUUGGACAAUGGGGGCAACCCUGAUCCAGCCAUGCCGCGUGUGUGAAGAAGGCCCUCGGGUUGUAAAGCACUUUCAGUGAGGAAGAACGCCUGGUGGUUAAUACCCAUCAGGAAAGACAUCACUCACAGAAGAAGCACCGGCUAACUCCGUGCCAGCAGCCGCGGUAAUACGGAGGGUGCGAGCGUUAAUCGGAAUUACUGGGCGUAAAGCGCGCGUAGGUGGCUUGAUAAGCCGGUUGUGAAAGCCCCGGGCUCAACCUGGGAACGGCAUCCGGAACUGUCAAGCUAGAGUGCAGGAGAGGAAGGUAGAAUUCCCGGUGUAGCGGUGAAAUGCGUAGAGAUCGGGAGGAAUACCAGUGGCGAAGGCGGCCUUCUGGUCUGACACUGACACUGAGGUGCGAAAGCGUGGGUAGCAAACAGGAUUAGAUACCCGAGUAGUC